rnacentral:rRNA from 1 species
AUUGAACGCUGGCGGCAUGCCUUACACAUGCAAGUCGAACGGUAACGCGGGGCAACCUGGCGACGAGUGGCGAACGGGUGAGUAAUGCAUCGGAACGUGCCCAGUAGUGGGGGAUAGCCCGGCGAAAGCCGGAUUAAUACCGCAUACGACCUACGGGUGAAAGCGGGGGAUCGCAAGACCUCGCGCUAUUGGAGCGGCCGAUGUCGGAUUAGCUAGUUGGUGGGGUAAAGGCCUACCAAGGCGACGAUCCGUAGCUGGUCUGAGAGGACGACCAGCCAAACUGGGACUGAGACACGGACCAGACUCCUACGGGAGGCAGCAGUGGGGAAUUUUGGACAAUGGGCGCAAGCCUGAUCCAGCCAUGCCGCGUGCGGGAAGAAGGCCUUCGGGUUGUAAACCGCUUUUGUCAGGGAAGAAACGGUCUGGGCUAAUACCCCGGACUAAUGACGGUACCUGAAGAAUAAGCACCGGCUAACUACGUGCCAGCAGCCGCUGUAACAC